UACGUAUGGUGCAAGCGUUAUCCGGAUUUACUGGGUGUAAAGGGAGCGCAGGCGGCACGGCAAGCCUGAUGUGAAAGCCCACGGCCCAACCGCGGGACUGCAUUGGGAACUACCGGGCUGGAGUGCCGGAGAGGUAGGCGGAAUUCCUAGUGUAGCGGUGAAAUGCGUAGAUAUUAGGAGGAACACCAGUGGCGAAGGCGGCCUACUGGACGGUGACUGACGCUGAGGCUCGAAAGCGUGGGGAGCAAACAGG
rnacentral:rRNA from 1 species